rnacentral:rRNA from 1 species
UACAGAGGGGGCAAGCGUUAUUCGGAAUUAUUGGGCGUAAAGGGCGCGUAGGCGGCUUGGCAAGUGGAUGGUGAAAUCCCCUCGGCUUAACCGAGGAACUGCCGUCCAAACUGCUUCGCUUGAGACCGGGAGAGGUGAGUGGAAUUCCCAGUGUAGCGGUGAAAUGCGUAGAUAUUGGGAGGAACACCAGUGGCGAAGGCGGCUCACUGGACCGGUACUGACGCUGAUGCGCGAAAGCGUGGGGAGCAAACGGGG